UUCGUAUGUAUUGUCUGUGUCGUGUUGUUAGUUACUUCGUGAUUCGUGUUAGUUAGUUCCAAUAUGGCACCAUUCACCAUUGGUUAUAGACUUAUUAGUUAGUAGCAAGUUAGUUAGGUUAGAGUAGCAAACAAAUGGUGAGAGUUAACGUGUUGGCUGUGCAAGUGUCGUCGGGCCAGGAAGAGGGUCACUUUUACGCUUGGUGUUUCUUGCGGAUUGUGAACGUUCGUAUUUAUUAUUUGAUCGAGUGUACGAUUGUCAAAAUCCUCGUGACGAUAUUCAUGCUGCGAUACAACGUUACCUACUUCCAUCAAAUUCAGUGUAAAUUAUCCAGAAUGGUCGCCGCCUACAGUGUCUACUGUCAGUCUGUCAACACUCUACACUUGUGGUGGUGUGAUUGUGACCGGUAAUUCUCAGCAUUUUGCAGGUUGUACAACAACAGGUUGUAGUAAAUCUCCAAGUUAUUGAUGCCUUCCCCAGAUCCAAUACUUUGCUGCUAUCUAUUUUGCAGACAACAUGAGAAAGCUGCCACUCAAGAGGUUGUGGUGACCACCGCUUAGUUCAGAUUUAGGAAAAUGUAAGAUUGAUAGAUUUGAGGUUAAUCCCUCGUCGCUGUGAUAGUCGUUUGGAAAC